rnacentral:snRNA from 1 species
AUCGCAUCUCGGCCUUUUGGCUAAGAUCAAGUGUAGUAUUUUGUUUUAAAUUUCUCUCUCCAGGAGGGAAGUCUUGACUGCAGCUGGGAUAUAUUUUUUAUGUGCAGCAUGAAGUAGAAAUUUGUUGUAUCUAUC